UAUUUGGUAUGUGUUUUCGUGUCGUGAGUGCAUUAUUGAGCGUUCGUCACUUUUUGAAGGUUAUAAUUUAAAGCAAAGUCACGAUGGUUUACGCUGCCUCACCUAGAGUAAUAUUAUUGAGCAUCAAAAUAAAUUAAUUCAGAAGGUCGCAUAGAAGUAACGCUAUGUAAUCUGCCGUAAGCACAAUCUACUGGUGUGGAGCAAUUAUUUGAGAACAGGUCACCUUCAACUAAUACCAAUUUACUUGAACGUAAUUAAAUCAGCUAUUAGCGUGACAAAUAGAGUAAACAUUAAUGUGAGAAUGGCAAACGACCCGUCAACUAACAGAGGCGCCGGCCCGAGUCACGACUCAACAAAUAUUUACUUGGACACACCCUGUGUGUGCUCUCUAUUUGUAUCCACUUCCGAUAGCAGCGUGAAUAUUCAGAUCAGCCACUUCUAGAACUUUACUAAUUCACUGAUAUUUAUAUACGAAGGAAAUGAAGGCAAAUCGAUAAAUCCGUAGAAGUAGAUGCGAGGAAGCGGUGUCAGUGGCAUCAUCAAUAAGAUAGUAUAGGCUAUGAUUAGAGGUGAAGAAAAGUUUAGAGGAAAAUAAUUGGUGUAAAUUGUACGCAAUUUGGCAUUUCAACUUCACACCCCUGAUCGAAAAAGUUGGAGUAUUUUUUUUAAAAAGAUGUCCAAGAUUUGCAAAAAAAACGUUGAAGUUAAAGACAGUGGAGGAGGAAAGUAUUAACUUCACCACCAUGUCAGCGCAAAUUCUGGAACGGAAUUACAUAAUAAUAUGUCGAUCGAUCAAUGUUCAAAAAACUACUUCAUUUCUGUUUACAAAGUAACUUGUGUGAUCGGAAGCAGCUUAAGAAUUACCGAGUGAAGUACGCACGUAGUAGAGGGCAUUAUGCUAGAAAAGUUUUGUGUAACAAUGUGUAAUGUUGCCAUUUCUAUGCGCAAAUUUCCCGGUCGGAACUGGCGGAGCGUCCGCGUAUCUUGCGAAGCAAUACCCAACUCUCCUAUUGUGGCGCCAUCUCCAUCUGUCCGCUCGACUGACGUGUUUCCGGCUUCUCUUCAAAAAGUCUUGAGCUGUCAACUGGUGAGGGUACGUCUAAAGUUUGCUUGAGGGGCUUUUUAUUCUUUUUCGGAAAAAGAUUUAUUUGUUAUCAUCUAUUUCCAAUUCUUACAAAAACAAAUUCAGAUAAAUAUUGGAGUCGAUCUCAAGCUCACAUAUCUCGUAGUCAUAUGAAAUAUACAAUUAUUCUAAUAGAAUGAAAUCAUUCUCAAAUGAAAGGAGAUCGCUGCUACCAUUCCUCGGAAUCCACAUUCUUAUUAAUUUGCAACAGGCAAUAACUUCGCAGGGGAAACCAAUCUUACUAUCGGGUGGCUCACAUGUGCUCCGCAGCAAUAAGAUACUAAAAAUAUAUUUAAUCAGUAGUACUAUACAAACGACACGUCAGAAAAACCACUACAAGCCAAGGCCAUAAUGAUUGAACAAUUUCGACCUCAUUCUCUGUGUAUAUCAUUCGUUUAGUUUAAUAAUAAAAUUAUUGCGCAGAA